ensembl:lncRNA
CCAGUUUGAGACCAGUUCCUCCUUAGCAGCAAUUUCCACACAACUGAACUGAUGACCAUCUGUAUAAACAAGUGUAUGGAUUGAAAUCUAAAAAAAACUUGGGGUCACACAGAUGUUACAUUGCUCAGGAAAGAGGCACAAAUUAACUGAUCAUCUGAACCCCAAGACAACAACAAAGGAACUGGUGAAGGAGUUUGAGGCAUCGGGUACCAAAGAAUGUACAUCCAAAGCUAAGAGAUUCCUACAUGGUUAUGGCCUCAAAGGCUGUCAUGUAAGGAAGCGUCCCCGACUCUAAGACCAGCCAAUCUGACAUCAUAAAUAAAAGCUGAGAAAUUUGUCUCUUAGCUAUUAUUGUAAAACUACCUCUUAUGGAAAUAAAGUAGAUACUCUGGUUGAUUUAACAUGAAAUAUAUGAAUUUUUAUAGCCUAGCUGUACAGUAUGUAAACAUUUGGCCUUAACUGUGUAUAAAGAAAACUCUCAUAUAAACAUGAACCUAAAGGUCUCAGUGCUGAUAUGAGGUGGAUUACUCAAUCAUCCAUUUUUAAAAAUGACUUUGACUGGACAAUGUUUGCCAAUGUUUGACAAUGUAAUAGUUCAUCCUCCAAAGUAUAAAUUAUACAACACAACAGAACACUCAAUUAUGUCUUACUUAGUUUGAAUGAAAGGGUUGAACUAAUGCAAAGCUUUAACUUUUCUGUAUUUCAAACUUUCCAUUUGGAGGAGAAUGCAACUGCCUUUCUGUCUUUCACUGAGUAAGUUUAUGUUCAUACAGUACAUACAAUUCUUCUCUAAUAAAGUGUGGCAUGCCAUGCUACCUUCUAAUUUGAGCAAAAUAUGGCACUUUAGUGGCUUGCUGCCUUCCAAAAAUCUUUAUAUACCAAAAUGCUGCCUACCUAGCAAACUGUCUUCUAAUUAGAUCAUGAUUGUGUUAUGUCCCAGCAACACACAGAGAGGUUUUUUUUCCUUCUCUUCCUUUUGCUUUCUCUCCUCUCCCUGAUUAGCUACAGGUAGCCCUUUGGUCUGUGACUGGAUCGCUGAUGCAUGGUUGCGGCACCAGUCGGCAUUGUAUCUUCCCCCAAAGGAGGCAAAGCUCUGGGUAUAAAAGUCAUCAAAGAUGACAACGUGGAAGUUGAGAGCUUAAAUCAGAGAAAAGCACAGCGCACAGAGCAAAGGAAAGCAGCAGUAGCAAAGAGUACAUGUAAAUGUAGACAUAGAGAAAGAGAACCGUAAACUAAGAGAGACAAGUUUGAAUAUGUUAAAGACUAUACUGUGUUCCAUAUCUUGUAGUUUUGAUUGGUCCUGGCAAAUGUAUUUAGCUAAACUAACAUUUUGUGUGUUUGUGUUCCUGUGCUGGCUUAUUUAUUAUUCGCUAAAAACCAUUCAAUCCAGACCCCCUUUAUGCAUUUGUGAAGUUUUUUUUGGUUCAUGCAUUGUAGGGUUAAAUAUCAAAAAUCUAAAAGGUGUGCAUUAUAGCUGACACCUAGAUGAACAUCAUUCCCUUCUAAUGCUAUUGAGCUUUAAAUUAUGGUACAUUUUGUGUAUGAGCCCAUGCAGUAAUAAAAUACAAGACAAUAUUUAUAUAUGAUUUAUUAGAUUACUUUAUUAAAUAUCAAAAAUCUAAAAGCUGUGUGUCAUACCUGACACCUAGAUGAACACUUUACAGUUGGUUAUAUGACUCUAAGUCAUUCCCUUCAAAUGCUAUUGAAAUUAGAAACGUAUAUAACAUUGUCGUAUGUAACUUUAGAAACGGUCCCUUAAUUUCCGCAUAUCUGCGAAUAUUGAACAUCCAACAUCAAACCAACUUUAUGCCAGUGUACAUAUUUGUGUUUACGUUUGAUGCUAGCUCUAGUCUUUGUAUACUUAUCACACACCUUUACUUAUAUAUAGUUUUGUUUUCCUUUUAGACAAAAAUAGGGGCACAUAACAUGUGGGGGAAUUGUCUGGGAUAUUUGUUGAAGGGUCCUGGAAAUUUUGUUGAAUUAGUGAUGGUGGAUGGAAAGUUGUACAUAGUGUAUAGUAGUACUUUGGAGUUGUUGGUUAUUAGUAUUAAUUAUUUGAAGGUACUGAUGCAGUCAGCCAACAGUUUUAGAAAUGGCUACCUUUGAGUUUCAUAAUUUCCUUGUUUAUCCUAGUUAUAAAGCUCUUGAGAAAUGCAGAAAGGAUGAGUUGGUUGUCAUAGCUGGCCAUUUUAAAUUCCCAUUGUGAGAUCUAUGGUAGAAAGAGAAAUUCGCAGACUCAUAUUUGAGGGUCUGGUUGAAUUGGAGGUAUUGCCUGUGCAGUGGGUUGCUGAUACAACUGAUGUGCUUGUUUCACAGGAGCAGGUGUUGCCAGACGGUGUCACAGAGGGUGGUGAACCUUGUGACCCUCUCUCUCCCAAGUUGGAGGAGUCAGCUGGAAUUCUGGCCGAGAACCGAUUCAGUAUGUGUUUAGCUCAUCUCCAAAUGGAGGCAAAGAGAGGUCUGAGGUACGGCAGUCUGACUAUGAGUUCAAGUUCUAUGUGUAAGAUGGAGCUGGAGAGUAAAAGGGAAAUUCAGUUUUGUAAUUUGGAGCUUAAGGAAAAGGAGUUCUCCCUAGCCAAAAAAACACGGGGCGGCAGCCUUGGAAUAAACCACUCGCUACAGACAUCACCUGUGGCUUCCUUGCACACUGCACCAUUUAGCAUAACUACUGAGUUGAAUCCACAUACUUUUGACAUUAGUAAGCAUAUUGCAUUAUUUUCUCCAUUUUAGGAAUCUGAAGUGGACACCUAUUUCAGCAUGUUUGAAAGGUUAGCUAUGACUUUCCAUUGGCCUAAAGAGAUUUGGACCUUGCUUCUGCAGUGUAAUCUUGAUGGGAAAGUCCAGGAAGUUUGUUCAGCUUGGUCACUUAAUGAAAGUUUGCGAUAUGAUAUAGUAAAAGCCGUGAUUGUUAGAGCAUAUGCACUUGUACCAGAGUCAUACUGGCAGAGCUUCCGGAACUAAAGGAAAAAGUCUUCCCAAACAUUCAUAUAGUUCACUAGAGAAAAAGGGAUUCUCUUUUGAUAAAUGGUGCAGUGCGAAAUAAGGUUUUUAAAUUGGUUAAAGUGGAGCACUCUUAGAAAGCAAACCAAAAUGGGGGGCAGUGGUGGCUUAGCGGUGAACCUGAGACCCAUGAGGUGGACUUACCCGCCAAGCUUCAGCCAGGGGACAACAUGGCGACCUCAGAGCUCGAACCUGAGACCCUUGAGGUGGGCUCACCCGCCGAGCUCCAGCCAGAGGUCCACGUGGCGACCUCCGAGCUCCAACCUGAGACCCACGAGGAGGUCUCAGCACCAGAGCUCCAGCCACAGGUCAACAUGGCGACCUCAUAACCUGAGCUCCAACCUGAGACCCACGAGGGGGUCUCAGCUCCAGAGGUCCACUGUAAUGCCCAGUCCACUGUAAUGCCCAGUUAUGCCUACUCACACUGGUGUCUGCUGACGUGACCAACCAAGUGUCUGUUGACAGGUACAACCAAGCUCUGCUUACGUCCAAGUCUGCUGACAUGAUCAACCAAGUUAUGCUUACGCCCGAAUCCGCUGAUAUAGCCUACCAAGUUCAGCCUGUAGGCUCCACUGAGAACGCCGCUCUGCGUUCCUGCUCCAAUGUGAACGUCACUCUGCUUUCCUGCUCCGCUGAGUACGUCGCUCUGUUUGCCUGCUCCGCUGAGGACGUCGCUCUGCCUUCCUGCUCCUCGGAGGACGUCGCUCUGCCUUCCUGCUCCGCCGAGUACGGUGCUCUAUUUGCCUGCUCCGCCGAGGACGCCGCUCCGCCUUCCUGCUCUGCCGAGGACGCCACUUCGCUUUCCUGUCCUGCCAUGGAUGUCGCUCCGUUUUUCUGUUCCGCGGAGAACAUCGCUCCGCUUUCCUGUUCCGCCGAGGAUGUCGCUCCGUUUUUCUGUUCCGCCGAGAACGUCGCUCUGCUUUCCUGUUCUGCCGAGGACAUCGACACACUUCGUGACAUUGUUUACUAUGGUCUCCUCCCUGUUC